CCUACGGGAGGCAGCAGUGGGGAAUCUUGCGCAAUGGGGGCAACCCUGACGCAGCCAUGCCGCGUGAAUGAUGAAGGCCUUAGGGUUGUAAAGUUCUUUUGCCCGUGACGAUGAUGACGGUAACGGGAGAAUAAGCUCCGGCUAACUUCGUGCCAGCAGCCGCGGUAAUACGAAGGGGGCUAGCGUUGUUCGGAAUUACUGGGCGUAAAGCGCGCGCAGGCGGUUCGAUAAGUUAGGGGUGAAAUCCCUGGGCUCAACCCAGGAAUGGCCUUUAAGACUGUCGAGCUAGAGGACGAGAGAGGUGAGUGGAAUUCCCAGUGUAGAGGUGAAAUUCGUAGAUAUUGGGAAGAACACCGGUGGCGAAGGCGGCUCACUGGCUCGUUUCUGACGCUGAGGCGCGAAAGCGUGGGGAGCAAACAGGAUUAGAUACCCUGGUAGUCCACGCCCUAAACGAUGAGUGCCAGUGUCGGAGCUAGCUCUCGCGCGCNGCUACGCUACGCACUCCGCCGUCGGGAGGUACGGCCGCGACGGUUAAACGUUAAACGUAAGUAGUAGACGCGUGUAGAGUUCGACGACGACGACGAGAGGAGGNG
rnacentral:rRNA from 1 species